rnacentral:rRNA from 1 species
UACGAAGGGUGCAAACGUUGCUCGGAAUCAUUGGGCGUAAAGCGCACGUAGGCGGCUUCAAAAGUCGGAUGUGAAAUCCCGUGGCUCAACCAUGGACGUGCAUUCGAAACUGCGAAGCUUGAGUAUGGAAGAGGGUCGCGGAAUUCCCGGUGUAGAGGUGAAAUUCGUGGAUAUCGGGAGGAACACCAGUGGCGAAGGCGGCGACCUGGGCCAAUACUGACGCUGAGGUGCGAAAGCGUGGGGAGCAAACAGG